CCCGAAAAAAAAUGAUCUAUAGUAAAAAUUUAAUUUUAGAAAAAGAAAAUUGAUUGUAAUAUAAAUCUAUAAAAAUUUUUCUAUUGGAGUGAAAGGCUUUUCAUAUUUUUUUAUAUCUGGAUUAAAGGGAAAUGUAUUUAGUACAAAAAAAUUAUAAAUAAGUAGUGAUAAGAUUAUUUAUUUGGAGGAAAAAUUAAAAUUAAUUAUAUUAUAUAAUAAAUUUAAAAUUUAUAAAUUAAAUAUAAAAUUAUUGUAAAAUAAUUUCUUUUUAUUAUUACCUUUUUAUUUUUAAAUAAUUUUUUUUUAAAAAUAAUUAUGUUUAAAUAAGUAGAAAUUUUAUUUAUUAAAAACUUAUAAGGAACUCGGCAAAAUUAUUAUUUUUAACUGUUUAACAAAAACAUAGCUUGUUGUAUAUAAAUAAUAAGUUAUUUCUGCCCUGUGAUUUUAUAUUAAUUAUUUAACGGCCGCAGUACUUUGACUGUGCUAAGGUAGCAAAAUAAAUAGGCUUUUAAUUGAAGUCGAGAAUGAAAGGAAAAAUUGAAAUAAACUGUCUUAAAGGUUUUUUUUAAAAAUUACUAAUAUGGUGAAAAUUCCAUAAUAAAUUUUAAUAGACGAGAAGACCCUAUGAAUUAUAUUAUUAAAAGUUAAAUCGUUUAAUUUUAAUUUUUGUUGGGGCAACAAAGAAUAAAUAAAAAUUCUAAAUUUACUAUUAAUAUUUGAAGUUUUACUAUAAAUAAAUUUAAUUACCUUAGGGAUAACAGCAUAAUUAUUUUAAUAGAUUAUGACCUCGAUGUUGGAUUAAGAAAUAAUAUAAUUAACAAUUAUAUUAUUAAGUUCUGUUCGAACAAAUACUUUCUUACAUGAUCUGAGUUCAGACCGGCGUAAGCCAGGUCAGUUUCUAUCUUUUAAUAUGUUUUUAUUAGUACGAAAGGACCAUAAUAA
rnacentral:rRNA from 1 species